rnacentral:rRNA from 1 species
AUGAUGUUCGGUGUCCUUAAAGGCAUAGCUAUAGAAGAGAAGUUUGCUGCUUCACUUGAUGACAAAGAUAUUUCAAGGGCAGAUCCUAUGAACUUCCCUCGCCUCUCUAUUGACUGUCCAGAUUCAGAAAAUCUAAUUGGUCUGUCAAGUAUGAACUUUGAUAAUGGCGUUCAUUCCUUAACUGUUUUUGGUCAUGCAAACCAAUUUCUGCUUAAGCACUUUAAAGGUACACGAGUUUUGGAUUUAGAAGACUGCAAGAGCAUUGAGAGAUCUGAUGUUGAGUACAUAUGCAAUAUGGUUCUGCUGAAGCAAUUGUGCCUUGCAAAGACAGAUAUCACAGAGCUACCACCACAAAUAGGUAACCUACAGCAUUUGGAGGGGCUUGAUGUAGGAGGGACUCAAAUCACCGAGCUCCCAACACAAAUUGGAAAGUUGAAGCGUCUAAGGACUCUAGAUGCAAGGAAGUCACAAGUCAAGGAUUUAUCCCAUCAAGUUGUCUUGCUCACAGGGCUGGUCCAUCUGCUUAUUGGUGACAGUGAAUCCUGUGAAGGAGUGAAGUUACCUGAUGGAAUUGGGAAUAUGACAUCACUGCAGCAGCUGUGCACCAUUGAUUUGAGGAAAUGUUCGACAUCCUCUCUGAAGGACCUUGGUACGCUCCCUGAUCUAACAGAGCUUGGGGUAGUGUCAAGUGAUGAGCCAAAAGACAUGAAACUGAAUGAUGCACUGUUGUCUUGCCUCGACAAGUCCACCAAGCUGAGAUCCCUAGUGGUUUAUGGUGAUUUCAGAUUGAGCACACUGCAGUCAUACUCACCAUACAAAUAUCUCAACUGUCGGAAGAAACUUACUGUGGGAAAAUCUUUGAAGGUUCCGAUUGGUUUUGCAGGGCAAAGCCUCCUUGUUAUGCUUGAUAUCAGGGUCUGCAAGCUGGAGGAGGAUGAUCUGAAGAUACUCCAGGAGCUGCCUAGAUUGCAGAGCCUCAUUGUGCGGCUUGAAGUCCUCCCAACAAAAAUGAUACGAAUUAGCUGUGAGGGGUUUGCAAAACUUGAGCGUUUCUGUGUUGAUUGCCAAAUGCCUAGGGUGAUCUUUGAGGAAGGAGCCAUGCCAAAGCUGGAACAUCUUGAGCUCAAGAUUUACGGUGGAUCAACCAGCGAAGAACAUAUGGGUAUCAUGCACCUCCUAAACCUUCAAAUGGUUACUCUCCGGUACUCCAAAUGGCAUGCAACCAAUAAGGGCGUCAGGGAGACAACCGAUGCCAUGAAAACUUUGGCUAGGGAGCAAAAGAAUAAGUUCACUCUCUUCAUUGCUGAAGAGGACAAAGAUGCUAGUUCCAGUAGGAGAACUGAGAUUGAAGAAGAGGGGUUCAAGCUUUAUGAUGCUGUUGCUAAUCCUGCAGCCAUGGCGAGUACGGAUCCAGCUGGGAAUGAUCUUGUUGGCAUUGAUGGGAAACAAGAGAAAGAGCUCAUGAAGUUACUGUCAGAUGGGGACAAUGUGACCAAUAAAAAGCUGGAGGUAGUCUCUGUUGUUGGAUUUGCAGGAUUGGGUAAAACCGCUCUCGUCAAAACAGUGUAUGAAAAGAUAAAAGGGGAUUUCGACUGCACGGCUUUUGUUUUAGCCGGUCAGAAUCCUGAUUUGAGGACAGUUCUCAGGAAUGUCAUCUCACAGCUCACCAUGAACAGCAGUAAUAGCAGUAGAAAGGAUGAACAAGAGCUCGUCAAUUUAAUUAGCGAAAUCCUAGAGAACAAGAGGUAUCUCAUCGUGAUAGAUGACAUAUGGGAUGAACAAAUGUGGACAAUUAUCCGUUGUGCUUUAUCUAACAAGAACAAUCUUGGCAGCCGAAUAAUCACUACAACCCGCAUAGUCAGUGUAUCUAAAGCAUGUCUCCUGCAUGCUAAUGGUUCAGUUUAUCAAAUGGAACCUUUGUCUGAUGAUAACUCCAAGAAACUCCUCUAUCAUAGAAUAUUUGGUUCUGUAAGUAGAGGUCCUCAUGAAUUUGAACAAGUAUCUAUUGACAUCUUGAAGAAAUGUGGUGGGGUGCCUCUAGCCAUCAUCACUAUGGCUUCUGUUUUGGCUGGUGACCCGCAGCCGAAAACAAAGGAUGAAUGGCAUGCCUUGCUCAAGUCUAUUGGUCGUGGACAUGAAGAAAAUAUAGGAUGGAAGGAUAUGCAGAGGACACUGUCCUAUAGCUACUAUGAUCUUCCUGCGCAUCUGAAGACUUGCUUGUUGUAUUUGAGCAUAUUCCCUGUGAGUCACCCGAUUGAAAAGCAACGUUUUCUGAAAAAGAUGAUAGCGGAAGGGAUUGUUACCCAGGAUACGUUUAUGAGUCAGAAGUUUAGUCUAGAGGAACUAGCAAUCCAGUACUUGGAUGAGCUCCUCAAUAGGAAUGUUAUUCAUCUGCUGGAAUGCAACAGCAAUGGUAUGGUAAUAACCUACCAUAUCCACCCUAUGAUGCACGACACCCUUAAAGCAAUAGCGAUAGAACAAAAGUUUGCUGCUUCAUUUGAUGCCAAAGAUAUUUCAAGGGCACAUCGUAUGAACUUCCGCCACCUCUCUAUUGACUCUCUGGAUUCAGAAAAUCUGUUUGAACUUUCAAGUAUGGCCUUUGAUUGUGAUGUUCAGUCCUUAACUGUUUUUGGUGAUGCAAACCAACUUAUGCUCAGGCACUUUAAAGUUAGGCGAGUUUUAGAUUUAGAAGGCUGCAAGAGCAUUGUGAGAGCAGAUGUGAAGUACAUAUGCAGGAUGGUCCUGCUGAAGCAGUUGUGUCUUGCAAACACAGAUAUCACAGAGCUCCCACCAGAAAUAGGUAACCUACGGCAUUUGGAAGGGCUUGAUGUAGGAGGUACUCAAAUCACCCAGCUUCCAAUACAAAUUGGCAAGUUAAAGCAUCUCAGGACUCUAGAUGCAAGGAAGUCACAAGUCAAGGAUUUACCCCAUCAAGUUGUCCGGCUCACAAGAUUGGUCCAGCUUCUUAUUGGUGAUAUUGAAUCCAAUGAAGGAGUGAAGUUACCUGAUGGAAUUGGGAAGAUGACAUCACUGCAGCAGCUGUGCACCAUUGAUUUGAGAAAAUGUUCGACAUCCUCUCUGAAUGAGCUUGGUGAGCUCUCAAAUCUGAGAGAGAUUGCAGUAGUGUCGAGCGAUGAGCCGGAAGACACAAGAAUGACCAACGCACUAUUGUCUUCCUUCGACAAGUCGGCCAAGCUGAGAUCUCUGGUGUUUUAUACUGAUUUCAGACCAAGCACACUACAAUUGUCAUCGCCAUAUAAAUAUCUCAACAGCCUUGAGAAACUUACUGUGGUAAGGUCCUUGAAGGUUCCUAUUGGUUUCACAGGGCAAUACUUUUUUCGUGUGCUUGAUAUCAGGGUCUGCAAGCUGGAGGAGGAUGAUCUGAAGAUACUCCAGGAGCUGCCUAGAUUGCAGAGUCUCAUUUUGCGGCUUGAAGUCCUCCCAACAACAAUGGUACGGAUCAGCUGUGAGGGGUUUGCAGAACUUGAGAGUUUGUAUGUUGAUUGCGGAAUGCCUAGGAUGACAUUUGAGGAAGGAGCUAUGCCAAAUCUGGAAGAUCUUGGACUACAGCUUUACGCUGGAUCAGCUAGUGAAGAACAUAUGGGCAUCAAGCACCUCCUAAACCUUCGAAAGAUUACUCUCCGGUACUCCAAAUGGUAUGCAACCAACAAGGGCGUCGAGGAGAUAACUGAAGCCGUGAAAACUGAGGCUAAGGAGCACCGGAAACAGAUCACUCUCUGCAUCGAAGAAGAGGAGAUAAAUGGUAUCUGCAACACGAAGACUGAGACUUUUGAAGAAAACAGAGUUACAAGUUGCAGUAGGAUGACUGAGAUUAAAGAAGAAGAUGGGCAUGCCGACUGGACUGCUAUCUUCGACGGCGAUGGCACACACGAGGGAGGCCUUCAUCCGAGCAUCCACGAUAUUGCUAGCUGCAGCAGGACCAAGGAGAUCGAAGAAGUUGCAGAGUAG